UAGCUAGUUGGUGAGGUAAAGGCUUACCAAGGCGACGAUCUGUAGCGGGUCUGAGAGGAUGAUCCGCCACACUGGAACUGAGACACGGUCCAGACUCCUACGGGAGGCAGCAGUGGGGAAUUUUGGACAAUGGGGGCAACCCUGAUCCAGCCAUGCCGCGUGAGUGAAGAAGGCCUUCGGGUUGUAAAGCUCUUUCGGCCGGGAAGAAAUCGCAUGGGCCAAUACCCUGUGUGGAUGACGGUACCGGAAUAAGAAGCACCGGCUAACUACGUGCCAGCAGCCGCGGUAAUACGUAGGGUGCGAGCGUUAAUCGGAAUUACUGGGCGUAAAGCGUGCGCAGGCGGUUUUGUAAGACAGGCGUGAAAUCCCCGGGCUUAACCUGGGAACUGCGUUUGUGACUGCAAGGCUAGAGUACGGCAGAGGGGGGUGGAAUUCCACGUGUAGCAGUGAAAUGCGUAGAGAUGUGGAGGAACACCAAUGGCGAAGGCAGCCCCCUGGGUCGAUACUGACGCUCAUGCACGAAAGCGUGGGUAGCAAACAGGAUUAGAUACCCUGGUAGUCCACGCCCUAAACUAUGUCAACUAGGUGUUGGGUGGGUAAAACCAUUUAGUACCGUAGCUAACGCGUGAAGUUGACCGCCUGGGGAGUACGGCCGCAAGGUUAAAACUCAAAGGAAUUGACGGGGACCCGCACAAGCGGUGGAUGAUGUGGAUUAAUUCGAUGCAACGCGAAAACCUUACCUACCCUUGACAUGCCAGGAACUUGCCAGAGAUGGCUUGGUGCCCGAAAGGGAGCCUGGACACAGGUGCUGCAUGGCUGUCGUCAGCUCGUGUCGUGAGAUGUUGGGUUAAGUCCCGCAACGAGCGCAACCCUUGUCGUUAAUUGCCAUCAUUUAGUUGGGCACUUUAACGAGACUGCCGGUGACAAACCGGAGGAAGGUGGGGAUGACGUCAAGUCCUCAUGGCCCUUAUGGGUAGGGCUUCACACGUCAUACAAUGGUCGGUACAAAGGGUUGCCAAGCCGCGAGGCGGAGCCAAUCCCAGAAAGCCGAUCGUAGUCCGGAUUGCAGGCUGCAACUCGCCUGCAUGAAGUCGGAAUCGCUAGUAAUCGUGGAUCAGCAUGUCACGGUGAAUACGUUCCCGGGUCUUGUACACACCGCCCGUCACACCAUGGGAGCGGGUUCCGCCAGAAGUAGGUAGCCUAACCGCAAGGGGGGCGCUUACCACGGCGGGGUUCGUGGCUGGGGUGAAGUCGGAACAAGGUAGCCGUAGGGGAACCUGCGGCUG
rnacentral:rRNA from 1 species